CUUUCCAAUCUGUAGGAAUAAAGAGUUACGACAUAGUAAUCAGAAUUUUCUGAGAAAUUAUCCACACUACUUUAUGUACAUCGUGAAAACCCUAAACUAGAACAGUUGAUAGUGAAUGAUCCUUUUAUCACAGAACUGAGAGAUGUUUUCUGCUCUACAGAAUUAACUCAAUGGAAUAUAUUGGAUAAAGUUUUCUAUAAAUAGUAUCAUAUGUAGAGCAAAACUAUAGAGGAUCAAAACACAGCAUCAUUAUAUGGUUGGGGAACAGUGCGGGAAACAAUCUGGUUUUGAUGGAAUCUCAAAGUUUUGAAAGAACCAGUCUCUGGAUUAUUUCCAGGCCAUCCAGACAGCUAUUUCAACUGGAACAAGUGACCUUUGGAACAGACUAGAACACAGCAGCCUGGCCAGACAGAGAGGAGGGAGUAGUCAAUUGGGAAGGGCCCCAACAUGUUCUUGUAAAAUGUCAUUUGAAGUAAGAGGACAAUAAAAAUUAAGGACAAAUAAAUGAGCUUAAAAAUAUUUAAAACCAAGAAAACUGUGUGACCACAAUAUGGGCUUCAAGGAAAGAUACAGUAGGAAUCUAUAGCUAUCAUUCUUUAAUACACAUGUUCAACAAAUACUGGUCUCCAUCCCCUUCAGUAUAAGGAAUGUCUCUCAAUUACAUAAUAUUAAUCUUUAAAUCUUCACCACCUCUUUGAAACUCAGUAAUCAUUUGUUUUCCUUCCUUCAGUUGGGCAAAAUUUCCUUAGUCUAUGAUUCUAUAGUGGUU